rnacentral:lncRNA from 1 species
AUAACUGUUUUGACAGAUUCUCUUUUUUCCUUCUCCUCUUCUUAGUCAAUGGCUCAUAUUUUGAAAGCAAGAAAGGUGUUGACAGAGCCAGAAGUUCGAUACUACCUCAGGCAGAUUGUGUCUGGACUGAAAUACCUUCAUGAACAAGAAAUCUUGCACAGAGAUCUCAAACUAGGUAAGUCAUUGACGCCAAAAGCUGAGUUUUGUGUUAGAGUUCUUUUUUCUCUCUCUGUUUUUUUUUACAUAUUAAUGUUCUUAAUUGGGAUCUCGUGUCUGCAAUCUUGCUUUUGAAUGGGCGACUUUCAUAUAACAAUUGGCUGCCUGGCUCCAAAGUGGAUGUGUGUGUACUUGGUUAGAACGCAUUUUCAAAGGGAUUCACAUUUUGUUUUGUUUAUCGUCUAGGGAACUUUUUUAUUAAUGAAGCCAUGGAACUAAAAGUUGGGGACUUCGGUCUGGCAGCCAGGCUAGAACCCUUGGAACACAGAAGGAGAACGAUAUGUGGUACCCCAAAUUAUCUCUCUCCUGAAGUCCUCAACAAACAAGGACAUGGCUGUGAAUCAGACAUUUGGGCCCUGGGCUG